GGCAGUCCAGCCGCAGGGGCCACCCGAACAGUCUCUCCUCCUCACAGAAGCCUGGAGCUGGGCAUCCAAGAAGAAGCAGCCUCAUUUGUUUUCUGGUGUCAUCGUAGGUGGCCACCUAUGGCUUUUGGGCUUCUCACCUGGGGCGGGUGGGUUCUGCACCACCCUCCCACCCUCCUUCCUCCGUGUGGACGAUAGAGCCACAUCCAGCACCACGGACAGCUCCCGGGCGCACUGGAAGCUGAGGGUUUUGACAGCGGCAGGCCACAUAGGCAAGGAAGCUGGUGCAUGCAGUGUCUCUGGGCAAGGUUAUGCAACCUUCAUCUCCUCGUCCUCCAGGCAGCACAAGCCAUUGUGGAAUCUCCACCAGGUGUACAGAACGGUGCCUCUGCGUCCUGCCACUCAGGACCUCUCAAGUCCCCGAUGUGAUGGCUCCUCAGCAUGAUCAGGAGUGAGCGUAAUUCAGACCUAUUUAGAUCCGUCAGCCCACGGACCAGGGGGACCUUGAGCAGGACAGUCUUUUGUCUCCAAGCAGUCAUUCCCUGUUAUACAAGCAAGAGUCAGGAGGAGGAAUGGUUUUGGCAUCAUCCCCCACAGACAGCAAUGGGGCCUUUAGGCCUGGAAGGAAGGACCAGGCUGCGGCUGGCAUAUGGAGGUUGAGCCCUGGGCACGGGGCAUCAGCUUCACCCGGCUGGGGAUGCCUUCUGCUGGGUUUGUCCAUCUGGCACCAGCUGGCUUCCCAGCACCGCCCCCACAACCAACCAGACUCCUCCUUCUGCUGUUGCCAUGGCAAUUGGCUGCCAUAUUGUACCUCAGAGCACUAGCUCCUAUCUGGAUUUUCCCGCGGGGUUCCUAGAGGGUGGGAGAUGGGUCUCCAGGGAUUUAUCCCUUUCCCCUGAUAUCUAUCCAAUAAAAAUUCAUAAUAACA
rnacentral:lncRNA from 1 species